CCUACGGGAGGCAGCAGUGAGGAAUAUUGGUCAAUGGGCGAGAGCCUGAACCAGCCAAGUCGCGUGAGGGAGUACUGCCCUAUGGGUUGUAAACCUCUUUUGUCGGGGAGCAAAAGCCGGACGUGUCCGGCUGUGAGAGUACCCGAAGAAAAAGCAUCGGCUAACUCCGUGCCAGCAGCCGCGGUAAUACGGAGGAUGCGAGCGUUAUCCGGAUUUAUUGGGUUUAAAGGGUGCGCAGGCGGAUUUUUAAGUCAGCGGUAAAAUCGUGGGGCUCAACCCCAUCCAGCCGUUGAAACUGGGGAUCUAGAGUGUGCGAGAGGUAUGCGGAAUGCGUGGUGUAGCGGUGAAAUGCAUAGAUAUCACGCAGAACCCCGAUUGCGAAGGCAGCAUACCGGUGCACAACUGACGCUCAGGCACGAAAGCGUGGGUAUCGAACAGGAUUAGAUACCCCAGAGUC
rnacentral:rRNA from 1 species